ACAGUCACACAUUAGAUACCCCUGUAGUCCCAGCCGUAAACUAUGCGCGUUAGGUGUAUCGGUGACCACGAGUCACCGAGGUGCCGAAGGGAAACCGUGAAACGUGCCGCCUGGGAAGUACGGUCGCAAGGCUGAAACUUAAAGGAAUUGGCGGGGAGCACAACAACGGGUGGAGACUGCGGUUUAAUUGGACUCAACGCCGGGAAGCUCACCGGAUAAGACAGCGGAAUGAUUGCCGGGCUGAAGACUCUGCAUGACUAGCUG
rnacentral:rRNA from 1 species